GAACUCUGAUACAGAGUUCAGAGUUAAAACCAUGUAUUCCAAGGAGGACAUAUUUGUCCUCUUCGACAGUAAAGAGUUAAGACCCCUGUACUCCCAAAGCAAACCUCGUCUUUAAUUUUCAGGGAGAGUGAUCUAUACUAUCCCUAUUACUACUACUAUUAUGACUAUUUCCAGGUUAAGAGUGACUACCUGGAGGAUGAAAGCAGGGCGGCAGAAGGCAUGGAUUUCGACACAGCCAUCCAGCUCACUUGCAUCGAAAUCAAGCGAGUCUUUAAGCGGAUGAACGGAUGCGCGAUGGACAAGAAGUCAAAUCUUGAGCAGCCGGAGAAGGAAGUUGGUCUACAUGAAUUCCUACCGGCCUACGUCAUCAACACCACCAAACAGAAAACGUUACGUAAGGCUUUGCAGGGAAACUUUAAGAAAUUCUCGGCGUUCUUCGAUUACGAAUCUCACUUCAAGUGCCUCGAGAUUUUGGGAAAAGUUGGAAAGUUUGACAUCGAAAACUUCCGCUGUGCACUCGGCUGUGGUUGGUCUAUUCCUGUCACUCUGCUUGUCGGCCCAAGUGUUGGUAUUUCCUACUGGACAGAUUCUGCCUCUGCCGUAGCAGGUACUACAGAAGCCCUCACCAUCACCAUCACCUGCCCCUCCAUUGGCGGAGCAGAGAGCUUAGCAGACCUGGUUGACAGCUACUGCAGGCUUGUCAACCAAUCCAGCAUGUCGCUGUGGACUGUGUGGAGAGAGAGAGAGAGAGAGAGAGAGAGAGAGAGAGAGAGAGAGAGAGAGAGAGAGAGAGAGAGAGAGAGAGAGAGAGAUAGGGGGAGGAGGGACUGUAGGUGAACUUGAAGGAGAAAUAGGAGGAAUGCUCUUUUAAAAGGCUCUAGUUGAAGUUGUAAGGGUUUUUAAGGGUGUUCUUAAGGCUCUAGUGAUAGAUUAACAACAGGAGAAACACUCUUUUAAAAGGCUCUAGUUGAAAUGAUGCAGGUUUUUAAGGAUGUUUUUAAGGUUCCAGUAACAGAUUAACAAUAUUUCUGCAUUACUGACAGGAGAAACACUCUUUUAAAAAAGCUCUAGUCGAAGAUGUAAGGUUUUUAAGGGUGUUUUCAGGGUUGAGGUGACAGAUUAACAACAUCUGCAUUACUGACAGGAAAAACA